CGAAGUAAUAAGUUCAUUGUCCGGUGGUGCGGUCGCGUUUAUAUUUGUGUCGUUUUAGCCAAAUAAAAAUGUGUGAAAAUUAAAUGUUUUCUAUGAAAUCUAUCGAUUAAAGUGUGCUGCACGUGUGUUGUAUGAAAAAUAAAUGUUUGCCGGUGUUUUACGCUAGAAAUUUGUGGUGUUUGAAAACCAAAUUUUCACAUUUGCUUUUUUUCACAUUUCGCUUGCCUGUUUCAUGGAAGCGCCGCUGCUGUGUUUGUCUGCAUUUUACACAACAACACUGCUGCCACUUCCAAUAGGUGGAAUGUCUGCAUUCUCCCACUCGCCCCAUUCGUAAACAAGCCGAGAGUGUAGUGUGUGUGCGUGUGUGUACGGUCGGCGGUGUUAAAAGUAGUAAAAUAAUUAUAAUACGGUGAAGUGUAAAGCAUAAAUUAUGCCUGAUUUUAUAAAGUUAGUGCGGCAAUAUUAAUGAAAUGCGCAAACUUAAAUGUUUGUGUUAAUAUUAAGUGAGAAAUUAAUGCGACAAACGGUGUCGGUGCACAGUUUAUAAACAAAUCAAAUGUAGUCACAAAAACCUGCAAUAACAAGUGUUGACAGCCGCAGUCAAUAAUAGCGACCAGUGAUGCCCUUUUGGAAUUGUCAACUGUAACUGUUUGCGAUUAAUUUUGUGUUUUGGAAAAAAAUUAUUUUGUGUGUAACACAAUGUAAAAACUGCAGAAAGUAUGUUAAAGUGCUAAAAUUCUGCAAAAAAAAAAAGAAAACAGUUAUAAAGCAUAUUCAUAACGAAAAAUAACGAAAGUUGCAAAAAAAAAAAUAUUAAAAAAAUUCUAAAAAUUUAAAUAUUAAAAUAAAAAAGCAACUUGCAACACACUCGCACACAACUUGCCACAAAUCGCCGCCGACAAUGUGUUGGCUUUAGUGUCGUGUGGCGCAGUGCUGAAGUGUCAUCCUUCCGGCUGUGGCAACACUCAACUACACAUCUAAAAUAGUAGUGCCGUGUGUAUGCUAAAGCUUACAACAAUAAUAACAAGAAAGCAUAAAUAUAAAAUCGCAAAGGAUAAUAAAGGAUAACUGCUGAAUUCCGCUCCAAAGCGGUGCUGUUAGUUUUGCAUUCAGUUUGUUUCUGUUACACCGACACACACACAUACAUAUAUAGAAAAUUGUUGUUGUUGCUGCUGUAGUGUUAUUAUCAUUGUUUCGGUUCGUGCAACGCUCCCUAUAAUCGUUUGUUCGUUCGUUCGUUCGUGCGCCCGUUUUCGACGUCUACUUUUUUUUACAAUAACACAGAGACAACCAUUAUACAUAUAUAUAUACUACAAACAAAUGUUUUUCGCCGGUCGCUCGUUCUCUACUGUUUUGCAUCCGCAACAUUUUGUAUUUUCUCGCCUUCUUCGUGCAUGCUUCAGCCGUGUUGCAAGCAGCAAGCGCCAGUAGCAGCUCAAGUGUGUGUUGAAAGCUUUUUGUCGUGGUAAGCGUCUCACACUAUGCGAUAACGGUACAACGGUAAAAGCAGUCGCAUAAUAAUAGUUGCUUAUUGGUGUAUAUAUGUGCAACUGAGUCAAGCUGAGGGGAGUAGCAGGCGCUGUGCUGAUUUUUUCGCUUGCUGAAUACCGUUACACACAUAAGCAAGCACCGCGUAAAGCAGGCAAAGCCAUGCAAGCAUAGUUAAAGACAGCCAUCAGACAGACAGACCCGCAUAGACAGGCAGACAGACAGUCAGUCGGUCGGUCGCUGUGUUCGACACUCUAACACACACAUACAUACAUACCGAAAAAAAAAAAAUUUGGACGGCGCUUGUUCCGUGAAAAAAGCUGCGCAUGAAGCACAACACCCCAACAACACCGCUACCACUACUACAACAACUACUACGGAAGAGGGAUAGUCUGCAUUUUGGUCAUAUUCCAAAAUACGUUUUUAAGUACUUGCAACACAUUGCUUGUAACAUUACUAAGGUCGCAUACGCGUCAGCAGCAGCUGUUUGUAGUAGCGCCGCGAGUGCUUGGUGUAUUUGGUUGCUCGCCAAUCGCCAGCCAGACGAGGAGUUGGCGGAGGAGACGCACACUUACCACGUGCUAGAAACCACCGCCGGUUAUUACUUUAGUCGCUGUUCGUACGCGACGCAAUGGUCGGCAUGCGGACGUCUGCGACGCCGUGUAUCUGCUAUUGAAAUUCCGCUCAGCGCUCAAGACUGGCAACUUUUAUUUUCCGUUUCGGUUUUGCGACACACAACAUUCGCUACUUUUUAGACCAGCAAGUGAAGAAAAACAAAAACGGAAAGCGAAGAAAUAACAAGCAUAAUGCCAGCCCGACGGUAAUGAAGUAACUCUGUACAUAUAUACAUAUAUUUAAAUGUGUGUGUGUAUAUUUAGUUCUACGUCAAAACUUCUACAUUCCUUCCUGCCAUAAUUGUCUUUUUCGUCUAACUCAAAACUAAAUUUAAUUUAAACUUUUAUAAAAAAAAAGUUUUCUACUUAUAAUAUACGCUGAGUGUUUGAAGUUAAAAUUUAUAUAUAUGUAUAAAUAUGUGUGUGUAUAUUCGCCGCUGUAAGUGAAGUAAACGGAAAAGAGCAAUAGAACUAUACGAAAGUUAUAGCAUGUAAAAUAAAUAAAUCGAAAAUAAAGAAAGCAAACGAAAUAUGUGAAAAGAAAUUAAAGAAGAUGAAACGAGGUAAAUAAGCAACAAAACUUUAUUGUGAUUUAAUAAAAUAAUAAUAACUACUUACUAUACGAGCAAGGCAAAUAAAAGCUGAAAUCAUAAAACAAACUAACGAAAAUAACGAAAACUGAGAAAUUUGUUGUAUAAAACACCAAAAAAACAAAAAAAAAAAAAACACAAAUUUCAAAACAAACAUGCAACUGCACGAAUCACAAAUCAAACGAAAAAUGUCGAUAAGUCGAUGUUGCCACAAUGCCAACGAUGGCUUCACGACUAUCGCAGCGACGCAAGUCUUCCUCGUACUGACGCUGUUCGUGAUUGGGAAUCUAAGUGCCUGGCAGGAGAAUGUGCGGCCGAAACUUUAUGUGGAAUUAGGUCCUGAAGAUGUGCUAAAAUUCCUCGGAAACGAAAGUGUCGUGGAUCAUUUUAAACUUGUCACAAAGGAUGGCAACAGUCUGCUCGUCGGUGCCAGAAACAUCGUCUAUAACCUGAGUAUACACGACUUAUCUGAGCAGCAGCGCUUAGUGUGGCAAUCCACAGAGGAUGACGUCAAGAUGUGCAUUAUCAAAGGCAAAGCCGAGGAGGCAUGUCAAAAUUACAUUCGCAUCAUGGUAGUGACUUCGCCGGGUCGUUUGUUCGUGUGCGGCACCAAUUCAUUUCGGCCUAUGUGUAAUACAUACAUAAUCAACGAGUACAACUAUACCCAGGAGGCGAACAAAAGCGGCCAAGCCGUAUGUCCUUACGAUCCGCAUCACAAUUCAACAUCAGUUUUUGCUGAUAACGAGCUAUACUCCGGCACUGUGGCCGAUUUUAGCGGCAGUGAUCCGAUUAUCUAUCGUGAGCCGCUACAGACGGAGCAAUACGACAGCCUAAGCCUCAAUGCGCCAAAUUUUGUCAGCUCUUUUACACAGGGUGACUUUGUGUAUUUUUUCUUCAGAGAAACGGCUGUGGAGUACAUCAAUUGCGGCAAGGCAAUUUACUCACGCGUCGCGCGUGUCUGCAAAUGGGACAAGGGCGGACCGCAUCGUUUUCGUAAUCGCUGGACGUCAUUCCUGAAAUCACGCCUCAACUGCUCCAUACCCGGCGAAUAUCCGUUCUACUUCAAUGAGAUACAAUCGGCUAGCAAUCUCGUCGAAGGACACUAUGGCCAAACAAGCGCCAAAUUGAUUUAUGGCGUUUUUAAUACGCCAACAAAUUCAAUUCCCGGCUCGGCAGUUUGUGCAUUCUCACUGCAGAAAAUCGCCGACACAUUCGAGGGCAAUUUUAAGGAGCAGAGCAGCAUUAACUCAAAUUGGUUGCCAGUCAAUAAUGCCAAGGUGCCCGAACCGCGACCCGGCUCCUGUCACAAUGAUUCACGAACACUGCCGGAACCGACGUUGAAUUUCAUCAAAACACAUUCGCUAAUGGAUGAGAACGUUCCGGCGUUUUUCGGUCAACCAAUUUUGGUCAGGACGAGCACAAUUUAUCGCUUCACACAAAUCGCUGUGGAUGCGCAGAUAAAAACGCCCGGCGGAAAGACUUACGACGUAAUAUUCAUCGGCACAGAUCAUGGAAAGAUUAUUAAGUCCGUAAAUGCCGAAUCGGCGGACACAGAUGCGAAGGUCUCAUCGGUGGUGAUUGAGGAAAUCGAUGUGCUGCCGAAGAGUGAACCGAUUAGAAACUUGGAAAUUGUGCGCACCAUGCAGUAUGACCAACCAAAGGACGGCAGCUACGAUGACGGAAAAUUAAUCAUUGUCACCGAUAGCCAAGUGAUUGCAAUACAAUUGCAUCGCUGUCACGAUGAAAAAAUCACCAGCUGUAGUGAGUGCGUAGCGCUGCAGGAUCCAUACUGCGCUUGGGAUAAAAUUGCUGGAAAAUGCCGUUCGCAUGGUGCGCCACGUUGGCUGGAAGAGAAUUAUUUCUAUCAGAAUGUUGCAACCGGGCAACAUGCGGCAUGCCCAUCAGCAUACACUCCAUUCACAUUUGCAGGUAAAAUCAAUUCCAAGGAUGCGAAUGUCGGCGAACAGAAAGGCUAUCGUGACGAUAUGGAUUUAUUGGAUUCACGACGCCAAGGCAAAGAUCAGGAGAUCAUCAAUAUUAUGGGGGAUAAGAAUUUCGAAGGUCCACAAAUUUCAGCAGAUAUUAUCAAUGCGCAGUAUACCGUUGAAACGCUCGUUAUGGCCGUCUUAGCAGGUUCAAUUUUCUCCCUACUAGUGGGCUUCUUUACAGGCUACUUCUGUGGCCGACGCUGUCACAAGGAUGAGGACGACAAUUUACCAUAUCCCGAUACGGAGUAUGAGUACUUUGAGCAGCGUCAAAAUGUCAAUCGCAUACAAGCCGAGCCCAAGCUUCUACCUCAAGUGGAGGAGGUGACAUACGCCGAACCGGUGCUCUUGCCACAGCCACCACCACAAAAUAAAAUGCAACAUUCACCAAAGAGUACGCUACGCAAGCCCAUGCAUCAUCAUGGUCCCAACUCCGAAACGCUCUUCCAAUUCCAGCCCGAUGGUUAUAAUACACAACAGACAUAUCGCGGUCGGGACAAUUUCGGCACACUGCGAUCGCAUCAGGUGAUGGGUGAUAAUUAUCGUCGUGGCGAUGGCUUUUCGACAACUCGCAGCGUUAAGAAGGUUUACCUUUGAGACGGGAAUGGGGCGGCUGAUACCAGUCAGGGACUAAUUACCCAAAAUAUGGCUGUAAACACAAAUACACGUAACAGAAGUCUUGGUCGUUUAAGAAGGCAGCCGCCCCGUCAUGGUAUUG
rnacentral:misc_RNA from 1 species